UGGAUGGCGACCGGCGCACGGGUGAGUAACACGUAUCCAACCUGCCGACAACACUGGGAUAGCCUUUACGAAAGAAAGAUUAAUACCGGAUGGCAUAGUUUUCCCGCAUGGGAUAAUUAUUAAAGAAUUUCGGUUGUCGAUGGGGAUGCGUUCCAUUAGGCAGUUGGCGGGGUAACGGCCCACCUAGUCUUCGAUGGAUAGGGGUUCUGAGAGGAAGGUCCCCCACAUUGGAACUGAGACACGGUCCAA
rnacentral:rRNA from 1 species